CGGGGACUGGCUCAAUGGUAGAGCGCUCGUUUCGGGUACGAGAGGUUCUGGGUUCAACCCCC
rnacentral:tRNA from 1 species